AUUGAACGCUGGCGGCAGGCCUAACACAUGCAAGUCGAGCGGAGCGGCGGACGGCUGAGGAAUGCCUAGGAAUCUGCCUGGUUGUGGGGGAUAAUGUCCGGAAACGGGCGCUAAUCCCGCAUCCUAUCAGUUGAGCCUAGGUCGGAUUAGCUAGUUGGUGGGGUAAAGGCCUACAAGGGGGACGAUACGUAACUGGUCUGAGAGGAUGAUCAGUAACACUGGAACGGGGAAACGGUCCAGAUUCCUACGGAAGGCAGCAGAGGGGAAUAUUGGACAAGGGGCGAAAGCCUGAUCCAGCCAGGCCGCGUGUGUGAAGAAGGUCUUCGGAUUGUAAAGCACUUUAAGUUGGGAGGCGUUACCAACAGAAUAAGCACCGGCUAACUUCGUGCCAGCAGCCGCGGUAAUUC
rnacentral:rRNA from 1 species